GAUGAACGCUGGCGGCGUGCCUAAUACAUGCAAGUCGAGCGAACAGACGAGGAGCUUGCUCCUCUGACGUUAGCGGCGGACGGGUGAGUAACACGUGGAUAACCUACCUAUAAGACUGGGAUAACUUCGGGAAACCGGAGCUAAUACCGGAUAAUAUAUUGAACCGCAUGGUUCAAUAGUGAAAGACGGUUUUGCUGUCACUUAUAGAUGGAUCCGCGCCGCAUUAGCUAGUUGGUAAGGUAACGGCUUACCAAGGCGACGAUGCGUAGCCGACCUGAGAGGGUGAUCGGCCACACUGGAACUUAGACACGGUCCAGACUCCUGCGGGAGGCAGCAGUAGGGAAUCUUCCGCAAUGGGCGAAAGCUUGACGGAGCAACGCCGCGUGAGUGAUGAAGGUCUUCGGAUCGUAAAACUCUGUUAUUAGGGAAGAACAAAUGUGUAAGUAACUAUGCACGUCUUGACGGUACCUAAUCAGAAAGCCACGGCUAACUACGUG
rnacentral:rRNA from 1 species